AUGAAGCCCACCCUCAUCUCAGUGCUGGGGGUCAUACUCACGCACGGAGGAGCAAGAGCCCAGACCGUGACGCAGCCCGUGGACCGCAGCUCCGUCUCCGCAGGGGCUCCAGUGCAGGUGAACUGCAGCUACUCCUUCUCGGGGAGUCCUUUGCUCUUCUGGUAUGUGCGGUACCCUGGAAGCAGCCUGCAGCUACUCCUGGGGUACACCACGGGGAAGAGCGCCAAUGGCUUCAUGGCUGACCUCAACAAGGCUGAGACGUCCUUCCACCUGAGGAAAGCGUCAGCCCGAGAGGAGGACUCAGCCACGUACUACUGCGCUCUGAGUGGCACAGUGCCUGCCAUUGCAAGCGAAGCAGAGCACAAACCCCUUAGGAGUCUCAGGACCUUUGUCAGCUCUCUCUUCUUCUGGACGUCAGCGUUGAGUUUUCCUCUUGGCUAA